rnacentral:rRNA from 1 species
GCUCAGGACGAACGCUGGCGGCGCGCCUAACACAUGCAAGUCGAACGAGCGAGAGAGAGCUUGCUUUCUCGAGCGAGUGGCGAACGGGUGAGUAACGCGUGAGGAACCUGCCUCAAAGAGGGGGACAACAGUUGGAAACGACUGCUAAUACCGCAUAAGCCCACGGGUCGGCAUCGACCAGAGGGAAAAGGAGCAAUCCGCUUUGAGAUGGCCUCGCGUCCGAUUAGCUAGUUGGUGAGGUAACGGCCCACCAAGGCAACGAUCGGUAGCCGGACUGAGAGGUUGAACGGCCACAUUGGGACUGAGACACGGCCCAGACUCCUACGGGAGGCAGCAGUA